AAAAUAUGUAGUAUUACAGAGUUUUGAAAGAGGAAGAGCUAGAUCUCAACCAUUUAUAGAAGUCUCGUUUGUUUUUUCCAUUUGUUUUUUAUAUAGUUAUUUUAACUGUCAGUGAAAAAAUAUGUGUUGAGUUUAUUUAGUGGCCAGACUCAGCAAACUGGAAGUAGCCAAGACAGACAUAGCUCCUGCCUUCAUGGAGUUUACAGUCCAAACAGAGGAUAACCAUUGAGCUAAUUAUCACUAUGUAAAAUUACCAAGUACAUUUACUUGUUUACUUGUGCAUGUAUCCCCUCCCUAGAAUAUAAGGUCGCAGGCGGCAGGGAUCUUGCAUGUUUCACCCUCUAUCCCUGUGUAUAAAAGGCUCUCAAUAUUUGACCAAGUAAACAAUUCUGGUAUUAAAACCGUUAAGAUGGAAAAUCGCCGGCUGCUGUGGAAACGCUUGCCUUUCCGCCUGGUUUGGGAUAUCAGAGAAGGUUUUUCUGAAGAAGUGACAUUUAAGAUGAGACUUGAAACCACUGGGCAAAGAAUGAUACAAGCAGAGGAAGUUAUGUGAAAAGGCUCCGAAGCUGAGACGUUCUAAAAAUCUCUGAAAGCUAGUGUGGCUGGCCCUCAGACAACUGAGGCAGGAUGUGGAAGCAGAGGACAGAUGCCAUAGAACAGAAGAAGGAAUGGGAAGCCCUAGGAGGAUUUCAAGUGGGUUGUAUCCUUUUUUUUUCUUUUUUUCACUUCAUGUAGCCUAUUAUUAUAUGGUCUUCAUUCAAAAAAGCCACCAUUUUUCUGCAUGUUACUCUUGAGACUGUAGCAUUUCUGCAUAAUACUAUUGAGAGUGUAACAUAAUUCCAUUGUUAGAC
rnacentral:lncRNA from 10 species